AUUCCAGCUCCAAUAGCGUAUAUUAAAGUUGUUGCAGUUAAAACGCUCGUAGUCGGAUUUCGGGGCGGGCCGACCGGUCUGCCGAUGGGUAUGCACUGGCCGGCGCGUCCUUCCACCCGGAGACCGCGCCUACUCUUAACUGAGCGGGCGCGGGAGACGGGUCUUUUACUUUGAAAAAAUCAGAGUGUUUCAAGCAGGCAGUCGCUCUUGCAUGGAUUAGCAUGGGAUAAUGAAAUAGGACUCUGGUGCUAUUUUGUUGGUUUCGAACACCGGAGUAAUGAUUAACAGGGACAGUUGGGGGUAUUCAUAUUUACAUGUCAGAGGUGAAAUUCUUGGAUUUUGGAAAGAUGAACGACUGCGAAGGCAUUUACCAAGGAUGUUUUCAUUG
rnacentral:rRNA from 1 species